CUUGUUCUUGUUAAGUUUGGAUGUUCCUUACUUGAUCUUGUAAAAUGAUCUAUUUAAGAAUGAUGAGUGUGGAAUAAACACAACAGCCACUCACCAGGCUAUUGUUCAUUUUUUUCUGUAGCAAAAAAAAGUAGUAAUACAGAAUGUCAAACUACUUUUAAUGAACAGCAUAUUACUGCGCUCCUUAUUACUUACAUCCAUGUAGAUAGGGUGAACACAAUACCUUUUUUAAAGCGCACCUCUGUCCCGGUUCGUUUUCGACAUGCUUUCCACGAGCCCCCAACCACUGCAUAGCUAUGCUGCGGUUUGUACCCCAUUCUGUAAUCAUAGAUAACAACACAGUACACGUUUUUAGAGAUAAACCCAGACAUACCGUUUUUUUGUGUGAGAGAGCACGACUCAGGGUAUUAUCAGAAACAGACGUGCCACUUACAGCAAGAAGCCAGAGGUGUUUUUAUCACUCACGACGGCUUAGGUAAGUGAAACAUUUCGUAAACUCAGUUAUAAAUAGCCAGGUUUUAAAGAAUGGGUUUAAAGAGUGUUUUUAGAGGUGUCCAGACAAGACCAGCAUGAGCACAGGUAACUCUGCGAGAAAAAACAAAUACAAUUACUUUUGUUAUGCUAAAAAGUAUGUGUGUUAACACUACCAUUUAAUUCACACCAGCCGGGUCCUACAAUGCCAUUAACGGAGAUCGUCUGGAAGACCGUUUCAACACCUAUUUUCGUGUGUAUGAACAAGCCUUUCAACAACAACAACAACAGCAGCAGCAACAGCAACAACAAUCGCUACUGACCCCUCAUGCAUACGAAUCGGCUAACCAGCAUCAACCGCCCCUAGCUGACCCUCAGGAAAUUCCAGACGAUGUCCUGCUGAUGCAGUCCCCCGCUGGUGAGGAACAAGAAGAGCAACGAUACAAUCAAGAGGGCCCGGAAGUUCAGGAUAGAGCCGUGCAGCAUCAGACAACUCAGACAGCGUCCCCUCAAGAUGAGCCUGAUCAGAAGCCUGUGAAUCAACCAGCCCCUGGAGAAUCAGCACCGGUCCAGCCAGAGCAACCACGCUCGAGCAGGGCUUUGAUCCGAUCAAGCCGUGCAAAACGGGAGCACUCACCAUCCUCUGACUCCU